rnacentral:rRNA from 1 species
AUUGAACGCUGGCGGUAGGCCUAACACAUGCAAGUCGAACGAGUGGCGGACGGGUGAGUAAUGUCUGGGAAACUGCCUGAUGGAGGGGGAUAACUACUGGGAAACGUAGCUAAUACCGCAUACCAUCGGAUGUGCCCAGAUGGGAUGAGCUAGUAGGGGGGGUAACGGCUCACCUAGGCGACGAUCCCUAGCUGGUCGGAGAGGACGACCGGCCACAUUGGAACUGAGACACGGUCCAGACUCCUCCGGGAGGAAGCAGUGGGGAAUAUUGCAAAAUGGGCGCAAGCCUGAUGCAGCCAUGCCGGGUGUAUGAAGAAGGCUUUCGGGUUGUAAAGUACUUUCAGCGGGGAGGCGUUACCCGCAGAAGAAGCACCGGCUAACUCCGUGCCAGCAGCCGCGGUAAUUC